rnacentral:rRNA from 1 species
UACGAAUUGUGCGAACGUUAUUCGGAAUCACUGGGCUUAAAGGGUGCGUAGGCGGUCAUGUAGGUCUGAUGUGAAAUCCCACGGCUCAACCGUGGAACUGCGUUGGAAACCCCAUGGCUGGAGUAGGACAGAGGUGAGCGGAACAGAUGGUGGAGCGGUGAAAUGCGUUGAUAUCAUCUGGAACACCGGUGGCGAAAGCGGCUCACUGGGUCCUAACUGACGCUGAUGCACGAAAGCCAGGGGAGCAAACGGG